UCCUGGGUGGCUCAGUCGGUUGAGCGUCUGACUUCGGCUCAGGUCAUGAUCUCGCGGUUCGUGAGUUCGAGCCCCGCAUCAGGCU
rnacentral:tRNA from 1 species